rnacentral:rRNA from 1 species
AAUGAACGUUGGCGGCGUGGAUUAGGCAUGCAAGUCGUGCGAGAAGCUUCCCUUCGGGGAAGUGGACAGCGGCGCAAGGGAGAGUAACACGUGGGUACCUGCCCUAAGGUCCGGGAUAGCUGUGGGAAACUGCAGGUAAUACCGGAUAACGUCUCCGGACCAAAGGUGUGAUUCCGCCUUAGGAGGGGCCCGCGUCCUACUAGGUUGUUGGUGGGGUAAUGGCCUACCAAGCCUGCGAUGGGUAACGGGUGUGAGAGCAUGGCCCGUCUCACUGGGACUGAGACACUGCCCAGACACCUACGGGUGGCUGCAGUCGAGAAUCUUCGGCAAUGGGCGAAAGCCUGACCGAGCGACGCCGCGUGCGGGAUGAAGGCCUUCGGGUUGUAAACCGCUGUCAGAGGGGAUGAAAUGCUAGGGGGUCCUCCCCCUGGUUUGACAGAUCCUCAGAGGAAGGACGGGCUAAGUUCGUGCCAGCCGCCGCCGUAACAC